CCGGUUCCAUAGAGACAGCGGUGCGGACAGAUACAUUUUGGGCGCUGCGGCAUAUUAAAUAUAUGAUAAAUUGUCAAAAAGUUUUUCUGUGUGAGAAAUAUGAUAUGUGGCGGGAGAGCUUGAGAAAAGACUCAAAUGUAUGACACUUGACAGCCCCGCUCAUAGCUACAACGUAACAUAACUACAACGUAACAUAACUACAACGUAACAUAACUGCAAUGUAACAUAACUACAACGUAACUUGUAGCUACAACAUAACAUAUGGCUACAACAUAAGUGAUCUAAACUAACUUAACCUGUGGACAUUAAUUCUGUCCUUUAAAAAGAAAAAACAUUGUUCAUUAUUAGCAAAUAAACCUAUAUAAAUUAUAAAUAAAUUAUAAACAAAUAAACCAAAACCACACGGUCUUCACACAAUUCAGGGAUAAAUUUACAAAUCUCUAAAUACAUCAAAAACGACUUUUCACUGAGAUAUGCCUCUAAAGCAGUGAAGUGAGUUGAGACUCAGAUCCCAUUUAGUUAUUCUGAGACCUUUGAACUGAAUCAUAACAUUUUACACUUGGUGACUCACUAUUUCAGAAAAACAACAUGCUAUUAGUUUAUUAAAUUAGCCACCCAGAGAACGAGAGAGCAGAGACAGCCAAGCAAAGCGCUAGUUACUGAUAGCAUGAAGAACAGUGUUUUCACUUUGAAAUUCAGGGCAUUACUUCAACUCAUUUCAGAGCUGAAAGAAACCACUUCCUGAAAAGCCUGCCAUUAUUUAUCGCACAGUAAAGAAGCUGCAAGCUAGACAGCUAAGCUUCAGUGCUAGUCAGGAAUGUGCAAAAACAAACAAAAAAAAAAACAGCAUAAGCAAAGCAAACUUAAUAUUUCAAUUACAAUAUAAAACUACAAAUGCAAGUGGAUUUAACAGUGAUUUUAGGUCAUAUAUCCUGCUAGCUAGAAUCUAGUUAAUUAGCUAACAUCAAGUUUACUAGCUAACAUCCAGUUCAAUAGCUAACAUCCUGCUUAAUAGCUAACCUCCAGUUUACUAGCUAAUAUCCAAAUUACUGGCUUACAUCCAGCUUAAUAUCUAACAUCCAGUUUACUAGCUAAUGUCUAGUUUACUAGCUAACAUCCAGCUUAAUAUCUAACAUACAGUUUAUGUGCUAACAUUCAGUUUACUAGCUAACAUCCAGCUUAAUAUCUAACAUACAGUUUAUCUGCUAACAUUCAGUUUACUAGCUAACAUCCAGCUUAAUAUCUAACAUACAGUUUAUCUGCUAACAUUCAGUUUACUAGCUAACAUCCAGCUUAAUAUCUAACAUACAGUUUAUCUGCUAACAUUCAUCUUACUGGCAUACACCCAGUUAACUAGCUAGUGGUGUGAUGGCUUAAUAUUAUUAGCAUAAUUAGCAUUGCCUAACACUUAUACCUCAGUAAUAAAGCAAGAAAAUCAGACACACUUUCUCUCUCUCUCUCUCUCUCUCUCUCUCUCUCUCUCUCUCUCUCUCUCUCUCUCUCUCUCUCUCUCUGUGUGUGUGUGUGUGUGUGUGUGUGUGUGUGUGUGUGUGUGUGUGUGUGUGUGUGUGUGUGUGUGUGGCCAGUGCUAAAAUGACUGUGCAUGAACACCUGCACAUGGUGUGUGUGAAUUGCUUUAUUUCGGACUUCCCCUGCACUGCCUGUGAAAACUCAUUGUUUGAUAGUUUAUCUUAUUAAGACAAUGUGUGUGUGUGUGUGUGUGUGUGUGUGUGUGUGUGUGUAGCUGCUGAGUACAAAAAGAAGAAGAAGAAGAAGAAGAAGAAGAAGGAGAAGAAGAAGAGAAAAAAAAGAAAACCCACAGUGAAGACAACAUGGCAGGAUGCCUCUCAUUUAGCGAACACAUUCCGCUGCUAUUUGCAGACGGGUGAAGCAGCAACGCGGUGGUUUGAGACGCUACAUCUGGCCGUCUCCGUCUCCACCCGCCUCUCUUCCCUACAUGAGUCCACACGCAAUCCUGCAUCGCUUAGCACUUCUACGAGUCUUUCUGUACCUCCACGGUGGCCUCUGACUCUCACACUGUACCCAGCACCAGCAGCCAGCACUGGAUUGAGGGCGUCCGCCCGAGGUCAGGCUCCCGCAGGCCACAAAUUAUUCCCUGUAUCUAAAGCCAGACGGACUGACCGAGUCUCCGUCCACACGUGCGCACGCGUUUGUUUGUAGAGGAAGCUGCUUGCUGCAUAAGCUCCUGCUUUUAGCCGUUUAAAUCCUUCCAAUGAAUCGGACAAAAAAACACACAGAAAUAGGCAGAUAUUAGGUGAGGUGGUAAAAAAAAAGCAUGAUGUAAAAAGCAUACCAGAGGUUUUUGUCUAAUCUCUCAUUAUUUACAGCUCUGGAAUAUCUGGGUGGAGCUGAAGGUCCUGCGUUAUAUGUUUUUUUUCCGUUCAUGUUCAGGUUAAAGGCAAAUUUAGAUCAGUAGCAUCAUAUUAUCUGAAAUAAAUCUGCUCCAGGGGUGUGAUUAGUGAGGAUGAGAUGGAGACAUGGCCACGCAGAGUGAAUGUGGAACUGAGGAAGUGGGAAAAACACGACAGCAAGAAAUGAUUUUAAACACACACACACACACACACACACACACACACACACACACACACACACACACACACACACACACACACACACACACACACACACA